CAGGGAGGGGGAGUGCAGAGGCAUUUCAAAUAUGUUGAGCCACAACCCUCCCCUCACUUCAUGUGAGGAACAGAAUGGAAAACAGAGCUGAAUACACAGGCCGGUGGUAGCUGGUCCCCUACAAGACAGUGAGGUACCGGAGGUCCCUCCACCCCCUCUGGACAUCGAGGGGUCCCCGGCGUACACAGUACGAGCUAUUCUGGACUCCAGACGCCGGGCCCAUCCCCCCAUGUCAUCGACGGUCAUCCUGGACAUCCUGGACCCGGCCCUCAUCACCAACUUUCACAGCCGGCACCCCGGUCAGCCAGCUAUGCGCUGGCCGGGGUGCCCGGGGGGGGGGGGGGGGUUUACUGUCACACCCUGAUCUGUUUCACCUGUCUUUGUGAUUGUCUCCACCCACCUCCAGGUGUCACCCGUUUUCCCUAUUAGUCCCUGGGUAUUUAUUCCGGUGUUAUCUGUGUCUGUUGCCAGUUCGUCUUGUCUUGUCAAGUCUACCAGUGUGUUUUUCUGUGCUCCUGCUUUUUCUUAUUUCUCUUUUGCUAGUCCUCCCGGUUUUGACCCUUGCCUGCCUUGACUCUGAACCCGUCUGCCUGACCAUGCUGCCUGCUCUGACCUCAAGCCUGCCUGCCACUCUGUACUUCCUGGAAACACUGACCUUGUUUAUGAUCUUUUGCCUGUCCACGACCAUUCUCUUACCUGCCCCUUGGAUUAUAAUAAAUAUCAGACACUCAAACCAUCUGCCUCACGUGUCUGCAUCUGGUUCUCGCCCUGUGACCUUAUAUAAACAGAGAGUACACAGUGGCAGAAUACCUGACCACUGUGACUGACCUAAAGUUAAGGAAAUCUUUGACUAUGUACAGACUCAGUGAGCAUAGCCUUGUAUUGCUGCACUUCCUAACCUCCUGCCAAAUGCAUGACCAUAUUAGAGACACAUAUUUCCCUCAGACUCACAAAGAAUUGGAAAACAAAUCCAAUUUUGAUAAACUGCCAUAUCUACUGGGUGAAAUACAACAGUGUGCCAUCACAGCAGCAAGAUUUGUGACCUGUUGCCACAAAAGGGCAACGAGUGAAGAACAAACACCAUUGUAAAUACAACCUUUAUUUAUUUUCCAUUUUGUACUUGAACAAUUUACACAUCAUUAACACUAUAGACAUACGACAUUUGAAAUGUCUAUUCCUUUGCAACUUUUGUGAGUGCAAUGUGUUACUGUUGAUUUUGAUUGUUUAUUUCACUUUUGUUUAUCUAUUUCACUUGCUUUGGUGAUGUAAACAUAUGUUUCCCAUGCCAAUAAAGCCCUUUGAAUUGAAUUGA